GACGAACGCUGGCGGCGUGCCUAAUACAUGCAAGUUGAGCGCUGAAGGUUGGUACUUGUACCAACUGGAUGAGCAGCGAACGGGUGAGUAACGCGUGGGGCAUCUGCCUUUGAGCGGGGGACAACAUUUGGAAACGAAUGCUAAUACCGCAUAAAAACUUUAAACACAAGUUUUAAGUUUGAAAGAUGCAAUUGCAUCACUCAAAGAUGAUCCCGCGUUGUAUUAGCUAGUUGGUGAGGUAAAGGCUCACCAAGGCGAUGAUACAUAGCCGACCUGGGAGGGUGAUCGGCCACAUUGGGACUGAGACACGGCCCAAACUCCUACGGGAGGCAGCAGUAGGGAAUCUUCGGCAAUGGACGAAAGUCUGACCGAGCAACGCCGCGUGAGUGAAGAAGGUUUUCGGAUCGUAAAGCUCUGUUGGUAGAGAAGAACGUUGGUGAGAGUGGAAAGCUCAUCAAGUGACGGUAACUACACAGAAAGGGACGGCUAACUACGUG
rnacentral:rRNA from 1 species